CUGGCACUUAACCUUAAAAAGGUUGCAGUAAUAAGAAGCAAUAAGUACUAGCCAUCGCUGGAGAACAAGGUGUUAAACCAAAUGUUUCUGUGGUCUGACCUGGAACAUCCACAAGGAGCCUAAAGAACGAAGAUGCUGUUUUGAGAGAUUACAAAUAGUUUAUUGCUCUGAACUGCAGGUUUUGUAGAGUCCAGUAUGAAGUAAGAUUUGUGGAGACUUCUGGAGGACAGCUACAACUGUAAAACACAGCUGAAAGUGUGGUGGAAUGGAGGUGUAUGGCACUACUGGAUGUUCGAGAUGUUGUCAGGAGGAUUGUGUCAGAUAGGAACGGAUUCAACUGAAGUGCUUGUCAUUGGAAGGCCAUGUCUGAAUAUGCAAAUGUGGUUCAGCAAACACGGCUCUGUGCAAUCUCAUGAUAUUUAACUUAAGAAAUGGGCUUAUUUAGAACUGAAUAUCAGGACAUCUCUCAAGACAUC